AGUUGAAGCCGAAGAAGAAAGGCACUCGAGGGCGGCAGAAGCCAUUUUGUAUCGAGCGUUGUUGGAAGAAAAAAGUGAGAACAUCGUGUUCGAAAAGAAUCGUCUGAACCCUUUUACAGAUAUAAUUCCAAGUGAGAAGGUGAGCUCGGCGGCGUACUGUGUGAAAACUGUUUGUUUUUUCGAAAGAAGGCGAGCACUCGUCGUCAUCAUGAGUUACGGAAGGCCUCCGCCCGACGUCGACGGCAUGACUUCUCUCAAAGUGGACAACCUGACGUACCGAACCACACCGGAGACCCUUCGGCACGUAUUCGAGAAGUAUGGCCGCGUCGGGGACGUGUACAUCCCGCGAGACCGCUAUUCCAAAGACAGCCGCGGCUUCGCUUUUGUCCGCUUCCACGACAAGCGCGACGCCGAGGACGCCAUGGACGCCAUGGACGGCGCCCUCCUGGACGGACGCGAGCUGCGGGUGCAGAUGGCCCGCUAUGGACGACCCCCGGAUUCGCAUUACGGCGGUGGCGGACGGCGAGGAAGUGGCGGGGGUGGAGGAGGAUGUGGAGGAGGAGGAGGAGGAGGAGGGCCGCCCAGGAGGUAUGGUGGCUCUAGUCGCCGAAGCAGAAGCCCUCGACCCCGAAGACGCAGCCGAUCUCGCAGCAGGUCCCGCUCUCGCUCCCGAAGCAGAUCCCGUUACAGCCGCUCCCGCUCCAGGUCCUACUCCAGAUCCAAGUCCCGCUCCCCCAGGAACAAGAAGCCCAACGCCAAGUCCAGGUCCCGGUCCCGCUCUAGGUCCGCCAGCCGUUCUGCCUCCCCUCCAAAAAGAGGCUCUGGGUCCAGAUCUAAAAGCCCACCUAAGUCGCCCGCCAGGAACGGAGGAGAAUCGCCCUAGUUGUCAGCAACAAGGUGAAACACGGAUGAUGAGGUUCCUGGACAAGAAGUUGCUUGAUCCUGAAGGUUGUCCUCACAGCUUCUGCGUCUUUUUUUUUUUCUUCUUUUUUUCUUCUUUUUGGUUUCACCCCUUCGCUCUCAAGCGAUGGGGCCAGUAUUGCAAGGAACGUUUACUGUUCUGAGGUUUCUAGCAGUCUGUCCACUUGCUGUCCUUUCUGGACUCCGAAGCAUUCAGAGUUAGUGUGAUUUAAUACAUUUAAAGCUUAAUAAUGUUAUAGUCUGCUGUUAUCGUCAUGAGCUUUUUUUAUUUUCAAUAUUUUGUCUUUUGUGCACUAGGCGCAGUUGUGUAGCAGGUGUUGCUAAGGUGUUGCUGUGUGUUGCUGGUGUGUUGCUGUGUCCAGAACGCUGCAGUAUUCUUCCCUCAGCGGUUUUUUACUUGCACCAACUGGAGCUGUGCUGCGGCAACCUGGAAGCUCUGCAGAGCCAUUUUGGUCAACUUAAACUAUUGUAUUACACACAAGCUUAAACAUCCAGCACGUAAAGCUUACUGCGGUAUUUUGGAAAUGAAAAUGAGCACUCAACAGAUGUGUGUGUAUACAAUACCCAGAAAAAGUUGGAUAUAACUCAUUUGGGACGAACCUAAAAUGCGUUGUAACCUUUAUAGGUGAACUUAGUUUGAAUCAGAUUUGAACCCCUAACCACUCUUCUAUUGUGCUACCACAAGAGAUGAGCAAUAGACUAAAUUUAAGCGUAAGUUAGGUUUAAUGUAGGUUUUGAAUUUUUAUUUUUUUUUGGUAGUAAUUUGAUGGCAGAUUUAUUUAUUUAUUAAUGGCUGCAUGGCCAUCCAUCCAUUUUUCUACACCACGUACCCUGUUGAGGGUUGCUGAACCCUAUCCCAGCUGACUUUUGGCAAGAGGUGGCGUUACACCCUGGAUUGGUCGCCAGUCAAUCACAGUGCAUGGAGAGAACCAAUCUCAUUCACGCUGUCACUGAGUGGAGCCACUACACCGUUUUUGUUUAAAGGCUGACCAAAACACAAACGCUGUCCUACAUUUUCAACUCAAUUGUAAUAUUAGUUCCAUGAGAUUUCACAAUUGUUCUUCUCCAUUGCGGGCAAGCGAUAUAGACCAUUUGAUGGUUAUAAAUGAUAGUAGGGAGGUUUCUUUCAGGGGCCAGAACAGUGAUCGACUAUUGCUGACCUAAACUGAAAUCAUGGCAAAAACUUGUCUGGGGUUGUGCAGACAGAUUUAUCCCAAAAGGUGUUGUUUUCGUCAACGUAAAUUGUUGCACAGUGAAGACUACAAGACGUAAUCGCAACUUUCUGAAGGGCCAGACUGGGUUCACGGGGUUUUUGGAAGGCACAUUCCCAAAGGUACAGUAUGUCUUAAAUGGUUGGGUUGUCUUUGAAUUUACUCAAAUUAAUGGAUAGCCUGCUAGUAGCUCUUACAGCACGCUACCCAUUUCAGCAUCCAAGGAGCACAUCAAUGCCAUUAAUCCAAGCAACGGAAAAGUCAAGUUAGCCUCAAUGAUCAAGUUAACUUUGUCUGGUUUAUUUUUUUGGGACUUUUAUGGAAAGUUAAACUAUGACCGGUAUUCCCUCUCCCAGUUUAUCUCAACCAUCUUUGACUGAAAAAUUCAUUUCAUCAAAGAUCACUUGAGCUUUUGUGCUGACUUGGAGAAUGCUGUAAAAUGUAAGACGACUAAGCAAAUAUGUCACGAGUAUGUGAUGAUCUCAUAUAAGCUAAAUAUAUAGAGUAAUAGUUUUACCCUAAACCAAAAAUUUGGUGUAAUUCCAUAAAGGUUAAGAAGAAAAACAGAAAAGCCAUAGAAACCACCCACAGUCUAGACUGGAGAAUAUUGUGAAACAGUUCCCGAGACAAGUCAUAUAUGACGCUUUGCCUUCCAGCGAGCUCAUAAUGCCAAAAAAGACGUGACGCAGUUUCGGGACAAACCGUACAAUGAACAAUAUCAGCUCUACAUUUUCCAUGAAAUAACAUACAGGUUAAAGUUCGUGCUGAAUUUGAACGGAACCCUCUAAUUUUGCUGGUAAUCGCCAAACUUUGACCCAAGGUAUAUUUUGUUAGCAACGUCAGCCUGUGCCUGAAGCGAGAU